rnacentral:rRNA from 1 species
GACGAACGCUGGCGGCGUGCCUAAUACAUGCAAGUAGGACGCACAGUCUAUACCGUAGCUUGCUCCACCAUAGGCUGUGAGUUGCGAACGGGUGAGUAACGCGUAGGUAACCUGCCUAUUAGAGGGGGAUAACUAUUGGAAACGAUAGCUAAUACCGCAUACAGUAUGUAACACAUGUUAGAUUCUUGAAAGAUGCAAUUGCAUCGCUAGUAGAUGGACCUGCGUUGUAUUAGCUAGUAGGUAGGGUAAUGGCCUACCUAGGCGACGAUACAUAGCCGACCUGAGAGGGUGAUCGGCCACACUGGGACUGAGACACGGCCCAGACUCCUACGGGAGGCAGCAGUAGGGAAUCUUCGGCAAUGGGGGGAACCCUGACCGAGCAACGCCGCGUGAGUGAAGAAGGUUUUCGGAUCGUAAAGCUCUGUUGUUAAGGAAGAACGAGUGUGAGAAUGGAAAGUUCAUACUGUGACGGUACUUAACCAGAAAGGGACGGCUAACUACGUG